UACGGAGGGUGCAAGCGUUGUCCGGAUUUAUUGGGCGUAAAGGGCGCGUAGGCGGCCACCGCAAGUCGACUGUGAAAUCUCCGGGCUUAACCCGGAAAGGUCAGCCGAUACUGCGGGGCUAGAGUGCAGAAGGGGCAACUGGAAUUCUCGGUGUAGCGGUGAAAUGCGUAGAUAUCGAGAGGAACACCUGCGGCGAAGGCGGGUUGCUGGGCUGACACUGACGCUGAUGCGCGAAAGCUAGGGGAGCGAACGGG
rnacentral:rRNA from 1 species